rnacentral:lncRNA from 1 species
GAAACACAGGAGGUUUGAGUCUGGACCACAGAUUGACAAAUUCAAUUCAAAGUGUCAGGUGGAAGGUUAAGAGCUUGUUCUAAAAGGCCCCAUUAUGAAACUUAUCUCCACAACAGCUCUCAGGAGUACAUUACAAAACACCCACCUGAAGAAUGUAUUUUCUUUUGUAAAUAUUCUCUUCCAUUUCUGGACGGCACCCGGACCCGGCUCAGCAAAACCAGCAAGUGACUUGGAGAUUGCUAGCAACAGAGGACAUGGAUUCCUUGCUUUUCACAACAACUGAACUCUCCUGGAUGCUCCAAAGACUCCUCUGGUGUUCUCUUCUUCCUAUGAGGCAUUAAAUGUGAAAUAAGGUCUUGCUUGGCAGUUUGCCACCAAGUAUCCUUUUGCAACUUCUGUAACCCAUGCUUAUAGCACCGCGGAGCUCUGUAAUGCAUAUUGGAGUGCUGUGAACACAGGCUACUUCCAGGCAAUGAGUUAGUUGUCAUUGUUUUAAAUAAGUAGCAUGUUACUGCAAUUCCACUAUUACAAAUACAGAAGCUUGCUCUGUUUUUUAGAUUCUUUAGGAUCUGGAGAAAACAACAACCUGUUAACUCUGAUCUAUGGGACGGGCUCUGCUGUUCUGGCACAGAGUAGGCACUUCAGAAUGCUUGUUGAAUAAACAGACAUGAUUUUCCAAAUACUAAUUUUUGGAUUUCAAGAGAAAGACUAGUUGAGAACAUACUUUCUCUGGACAGUGUUUUCUAUAGCAAAAAGAUCGAUCUAAAAAAGUAUGAAUGUAUUUAUGGCAUAUGUCAAAAGAAGUUGUAAUCUGAGACUAUCUUUGGGAAUUACAGACACUCAUAGGCAUUGCGCUUGAGGACAUCCACAUGGCAAGGACAUACCUUCAAAGAGUGUACAGAAUCUGGAGAGGCAGCAUAUGUGCGUGUGCACCUCCCCACACACACACUGAUUGAGCAAUUAGGAGACUAACUAAGCCCUCCCACAUAGAUGGCCCCCUUGUUAAAACGACAAAUUCUCCAGAUGGCUUGGACAUGAACCUUGAAUUUCUUUGCCAAAAGACAGCAGCAGAGUCUAAUGCAGGUCAUAUUAGAAACCAAGGGGAAAAUGAAAGACAUAAUUAAGUCCUUUGGGAUGAAGUUAGCCAUCAAAAUGAAAGAAAUACAGACCUUUCCCAUAAGAUUAGCCAUCAAAAGCAGAUAUUCGCAAGAGCAUACCUCUAGAAGGAGAAAGGAAAAGUCCCUUUUCCUGUCCCCUAAGGCCAUUUGAUCCAUAUGGAGAAAAAUCCCACGUACUUUUCAGGAAGUCAUAGGAGGUUCAUGUAUAGAUACAUGUUCAUAUUUUCCCAAUUGAGGUUAUUUAUAUUAAAAAAAAAAAAUCUGAACCCCGCCCGUCCCUCUUCUGGUGACUGCUCAUUCUUUGAGUGACUCCACUUGCCAAACUACUUCAUUUUUUUGUUAUUGUUUUGCUUUCCUUCUAAGUCUUGUGUUCGUUUUCCCCUAAAUUAAUAUGCUUGCUGGUAAGCUGGUCUCCAAGCGUGAAGUCAUUUCUCAUGUGCGUGUUUUGCAGGCACCGCUGACAGUCAGCUCUUGAGUGCAGUCAUGCUGUCGACUUGACCCGACUUGCCUCCACUGGAACAAGAAGGCACAAACAGCCCUCUCCACCCCAUGGCUGCCUGAGGUGGGGUGGGGCAGAGUCCACAGAAGGUGCUUCUUUUUCUUGGCUACCUAACAUCUCCCCACCACCACCACUCCAAAUUGGUUGCCAAUCUGGGCUUCACCCCUUCUUGCU